GGGGUGUAGCUCAGUGGUAGAGCUAUUGCUUGACAUGUUUGAGGCCUGGGUUCUAACCCCAGUACCAGCCA
rnacentral:tRNA from 1 species